CAGUCGCCGCGGUAAUACGGAGGGAGCUAGCGUUGUUCGGAAUUACUGGGCGUAAAGCGCACGUAGGCGGCUUUGUAAGUUAGAGGUGAAAGCCUGGAGCUCAACUCCAGAAUUGCCUUUAAGACUGCAUCGCUUGAAUCCGGGAGAGGUGAGUGGAAUUCCGAGUGUAGAGGUGAAAUUCGUAGAUAUUCGGAAGAACACCAGUGGCGAAGGCGGCUCACUGGACCGGCAUUGACGCUGAGGUGCGAAAGCGUGGGGAGCAAACAGGAUUAGAUACCCGCGUAGUCCCUGUCUCUUAUAC
rnacentral:rRNA from 1 species